rnacentral:rRNA from 1 species
GAUGAACGCUGGCGGCGUGCCUAACACAUGCAAGUCGAACGAAGCACCUUUUUCGGAGCCCUUCGGGCAAAGAGAUUGGUGACUUAGUGGCGGAUGGGUGAGUAACGCGUGGGUAACCUGCCUUACACAGGGGGAGUAACAACUGGAAACGGUUGCUAAUACCGCAUAAGCGCACAGAUACACAUGUAUCAGUGUGAAAAUUAUUUAGGUGUAAGAUGGCCCGCGUCUGAUUAGCUAGUUGGUAAGGUAAUGGCUUACCAAGGCGAUGAUCAGUAGCCGGCUUGAGAGAGUGACCGGCCACAUUGGACUGAGACACGGCCCAA